rnacentral:rRNA from 1 species
UACGGGAGUGGCAAGCGUUAUCCGGAAUUAUUGGGCGUAAAGCGUCCGCAGGCGGUCCAGAAAGUCUGCUGUUAAAAAGUGGAGCUUAACUCCAUCAUGGCAGUGGAAACUUCUGGACUAGAGUGUGGUAGAGGGAGGUAGAAUUUCCUGUGUAGCGGUGAAAUGCGUAGAUAUAGGAAGGAAUACCGAUGGCGAAGGCAUUUUACUGGGCCAUUACUGACACUCAGAGACGAAAGCUAGGGUAGCAAAUGGG